GGGUUCUUAGCUCAGUUGGUUAGAGCGCUACCUUGACAUGGUAGAGGUCACAGGUUCGACUCCUGUAGAACCCA
rnacentral:tRNA from 4 species